rfam:Macrostomum lignano uti_cns_0001464, whole genome shotgun sequence.
GCAUCGGUGGUUCAGUGGUAGAAUGCUCGCCUGCCACCCGGACGGUCCAGGGUUCGAAUCCCGGCCGUUGCA